UACGGAGGGUGCAAGCGUUAAUCGGAAUUACUGGGCGUAAAGCGCGCGUAGGUGGUUUGAUAAGCGAGAUGUGAAAGCCCCGGGCUUAACCUGGGAACGGCAUUUCGAACUGUCAGGCUAGAGUAUGGUAGAGGAGUGUGGAAUUUCCCGUGUAGUGUGAAUCGGUGA
rnacentral:rRNA from 1 species